GAGGGUCAAUUGCAAAACUCUUUGUUUACCUGUGCGUUGGUGUGUGCCUUGAGCCAGCAUGUGUGUGUGGGUGUGUGUGUGGGGAGUGGGUGAGAGAGCGAGGGAGAAAGUGAGAGAGUGACAGGAGUGGUCUUCAGAGUGAGUAGUGACUCUAGAGUCCUAGUGAGAGAAACUAAGUGUCUCCCCUGUUCUUUCUAACCACGGGGGGAGAAUCUGGAGCAGCAAAAGUUAACC